rnacentral:rRNA from 1 species
GGCUCAGGAUGAACGCUGGCGGCGUGCCUAAUACAUGCAAGUCGAACGAAGAAGUAAGCUUGCUUACUUCUUAGUGGCGAACGGGUGAGUAAUACAUAAGCAAUCUGCCUAUAUGCCUGGGAUAACCGUUGGAAACGAUGGCUAAUACCGGAUAGGUGAUUUGAAGGCAUCUUCGAAUCAUUAAAGUUGGGAUACAACACAUAUGGAUGAGCUUAUGGCGCAUUAGCUAGUUGGUGAGGUAACGGCUCACCAAGGCGAUGAUGCGUAGCCGACCUGAGAGGGUGACCGGCCACACUGGGACUGAGACACGGCCCAGACUCCUACGGGAGGCAGCAGUAGGGAAUUUUCGGCAAUGGGGGAAACCCUGACCGAGCAACGCCGCGUGAGUGAAGAAGGCCUUCGGGUUGUAAAGCUCUGUUGUAAGGGAAGAAGAGAUCAUAGAGGGAAUGCUAUGAUUGUGACGGUACCUUACCAGAAAGCCACGGCUAACUAC